rnacentral:rRNA from 1 species
CAGUAGCCGCGGGAAUACAGAGGGUGCGAGCGUUAAUCGGAUUUACUGGGCGUAAAGCGUGCGUAGGCGGCUUCUUAAGUCGGAUGUGAAAUCCCUGAGCUUAACUUAGGAAUUGCAUUCUAUACUGGGAAGCUAGAGUAUGGGAGAGGAUGGUAGAAUUCCAGGUGUAGCGGUGAAAUGCGUAGAGAUCUGGAGGAAUACCGAUGGCGAAGGCAGCCAUCUGGCCUAAUACUGACGCUGAGGUACGAAAGCAUGGGGAGCAAACAGGAUUAGAGACCCCUGUAGUCCCUGUCUCUUAUAA